UACGAAGGGUGCAAGCGUUACUCGGACUUACUGGGCGUAAAGCGUGCGUAGGUGGUUUGUUAAGUCUGUUGUGAAAGCCCCGGGCUCAACCUGGGAAUGGCAAUGGAUACUGGCAAGCUAGAGUGCGGUAGAGGGUAGUGGAAUUCCCGGUGUAGCGGUGAAAUGCGUAGAGAUCGGGAGGAACACCAGUGGCGAAGGCGGCUACCUGGACCAGCACUGACACUGAGGCACGAAAGCGUGGGGAGCAAACAGG
rnacentral:rRNA from 1 species